rnacentral:rRNA from 1 species
GAGGGAAGAGCUCAAAUUUAAAAUCUGGCUGCUCUUGCGGCGGUCCGAGUUGUAGUUUAGAGAAGUGCUAUCCGCGCUGGCCUGUGCAAAAGUUUCUUGGAAAAGAACAUCAUAGAGGGUGACAAUCCCGUCUUUGGCACGGACUACCAGGGCUUUUGUGAUGCGCUCUCGACGAGUCGUGUUGUUUGGGAAUGCAGCACUAAAUGGGUGGUAAAUUCCAUCUAAAGCUAAAUAUUGGCGAGAGACCGAUAGCGAACAAGUACCGUGAGGGAAAGAUGAAAAGAACUUUGAAAAGAGAGUUAAACAGUACGUGAAAUUGUUGAAAGGGAAACGCUUGAAGUCAGUCGCGUCUUCCAGGGAUCAAGUUGCCUCCGGGUGACCGCACUUUCUGGUUGAUGGGUCAGCAUCAAUUUUGACCGUCGGACAAAGGCCUGGGGAAUGUGGCAUCUUCGGAUGUGUUAUAGACCCGGGUCGGAUACGAUGGUUGGGAUUGAGGAACUCAGUGUGCCUUCAUGGUUGGGGCUUCUGCUCACACCGCACGCUUAGGAUGCUGGCAUAAUGGCUUUAAUCGACCC